rnacentral:rRNA from 1 species
UACGUAGGGGGCAAGCGUUGUCCGGAUUUAUUGGGCGUAAAAGGCUUGUAGGUGGCCACGCCAAGUCGGAUGUGAAAUCUCCCGGCUCAACUGGGAGGGGUCAUUCGAUACUGGUGGGCUCGAGGCCGGUAGGGGGAAGUGGAAUUCCCGGUGUAGUGGUGGAAUGCGUAGAUAUCGGGAGGAACACCAGUGGCGAAGGCGGCUUCCUGGACCGGUUCUGACACUGAGGAGCGAAAGCGUGGGUAGCAAGCGGG